CCUCUUGCUUUGCUGUACUGGUCGUGUUACUUGAUGGAACUGCGGCAGUGCUCUUCAGCUGCUGUGUUCUUCAAUCAUGAUAUGUUGCUUUUAAUUUUUGGUGCAAAGCUUAAAGGAGAUUGUGAAAAACUGCGCUCAGGUCCUCCCCAACGAAGCCGUCAAUGGACUCCUCGCCCAAGCAAAGCACAAAUCUUUGUGUUCUUCACUUCAGCCAGUUUCGUAUUACAGGGUCAGAUUUGAAUGGGGGAGUUGCUGCGAUUAUAGGAGAGCUUGAUCAUGGUGAUGCAGGUACAAGAAAAAUGGAUGCUUGGGGUACUUGGCGGG